GGUGGCUGUGAAGAGAGGUGGGGUUGGUUGGUUGUGUUGUGAAGAGAGUUGGAGGCUGUGAAGAAGAAGGUGCUGUGAGGCGCUGCCCAUGAGAAAUCACCAAGAAGGAAAAGGAUAUGGAAGCAGAGUGAAAAAGUCAGAGGAUGAAGAUCCCCAAGGAAUACAGAUGAAGAAUUUGACCGUAGCCUUAGAAAAAAAAAUUGGGUUAAAAUCACUCCCAGCCUUAGUGAUCUCUUCACAAAUAGAAGCUUCUGCUCUCAAAGGAACUGCCACAAAAAAUCUGGCUGCAAUCUGUGGACAUGCUGCAGGGCCUGUGAUCUGGAGAUGCACUCAGUGCGCUGCACACCCAGAAAACAUCUCCCAUUUCUCUGUUGCUCUUCUUGCCCCCUGGACUCACACUCAGAAUUCAUUUGGUUACCUCUGGUGACUCCUAUGCCUGUCCUAGGGAGAGAUGGGAGGUGAGUCUUGGCUGCUGAAAUCUAUGUUUGAGUGAAGGGAGGGCAGUACAGAGCUCAGAGCUGUCACUGACAGGGUGGGCACAGGAUGGUCACCAGCCCCAGGAGGGUUCCCAUGUGUGGUGCUGCCAAAGGCUUCACUGGCCAUUCCUGACUGUCUGAGAGGGGCCCACUUGUUCCUCUCUGGGUCUAAAUCCCUGAAAUAACUCCAGUAAAUACAGCACCCGUGCCCAUGACCUGAGGACUGUGUGCAAUUAAUGACCUCUCCUGUGACCAAGAAGGAAAUUGCUUCUCUGAUCUGUUUUGUUCUACAGCUCAUUGCAAUGGAGAUUCUCUCUCUGCAAUGCCUUAGGUGACUACUUUUGGUGCUGUAAGGUACAGUAAAAAUUGAAGGUUCACAUAUAUAUAGAUUAUCUGUGGAAAGAAAUUUAAAUAUUCACAGGAAUAUUCACUGUGGCAUUCAGACCUGGUUUGUUAGCAUCAAUUUUGAGUCCAAAAUCUCUGAGAGGAACAGAGAGAAAAAGCAGGAGAGAGAAUUGCAGUCUCCUUAAAACAGUGAAUUGUGUUCUGGUCUGAACUGUAAACUGGUUUGUGGGAAAUGUAUCAUGGCUGGUGCACUGUGCUGCCUGAAGCAGAGGCAUCCUAGCACACCCAUAUGCCUGUGCAUGUAUCCAGCACAGCUCUGGGGUUCCCAGCACCAUAUGCCUGCCUUGGCCAGGAAUAGUCCUCUUUAAAAAAGCAGACAUUAAUUUGGGAAUCACACUGACACAGAUAUGCUGCCUCUCAUUUCAGAAGCAGUAUACAGCACAGGCAAGCCCUGAGAUUCCAGUCACUGGAUCAGAUAUGGAUUACAGUUCUUGUGCCAUCAAAACUCUUCAAAAGGGGUUGUUUUAUUUUCCUCCAGCAUGGAACGAGAAUGGCUUUGUAGUUCUAGAAAUUUUUCUGCAGGAUUAGAAAGACUUUUCCUGUGCCUUUUGUUUGUGGUCUUGCAUCUCACAGUGUGAUUACAACAUUGCACUGGUGCUGAGUUGGAAUCUGUUUUUUGGAGCAGCAAAACAUAACAGUGUCAGGGUGGCUUUGUUCUGGGCGGGCUCCAAGUCCUGGGCCCUGCUUUCAGCACUGAAACUGAGUAAUGUGUGAAAAGCAGGAGGAUGAUGGGAUCUUGUUGGCACUUUUGGGAGGUGUGGUGUGUGAAAAGCUGUGUUUACAAAAGGCCUUGCUGUAGUCCUAAACUUCUGUGGGGAGAGACAGUGUUGUUUAACGUGCUUUGUGAAUCCUCUGUUCCUAGAAAGGAACACCUGAAUCUGGUUUGUGUCACAAAGCAGUUUUUAAACAUAGAACUGUGGAAUUUGGGUUGGAAGAGACUUUUCAAGAUCAUCUAAUCCCCCUGCUGUGGUUCAAGGCCAGGUUGGAUGGGACUUUGAGGAAUCUCAUCUCAUUGAAGGGGUCCUGGCCCAUGGCAGGGGAUUGGAAGGUAUGGUCUGAGACUGCCACGUGCAUUUUAACAGAAGGGAAAUGCUCAGACUUAAGUAAGCAAGGUGGAAAAUUGCUGUUCCUUAAACCACAAAGUCCCUUCAUUCAAUCUUUCCUUGUCAUGGCAAGGUUUGCCACAAGGUUUUCAUGAGCUGAGAGAAUUGGGACCAAUUCAGUCACUUCUUCACACCAGAAGGCCUAUGUCAUUAUUAAUCCCAACACCACAUAUCUCUCUCAGACACCUGCAUAGCAUGAAAUAAAUCUUUCUUUUUUAUGUAGACUUUCCUAUUUUUAUAAGUUUCUUUGUCAGAUCAAAAAUCCUGGGACAAAGCUGUGGUUGUUUGAGGUCUGUGUGAUACUCUAGGUUUCAGUGGGUCUGUUCUAGUGGGGCUUCCUUGUUUUCCAGAUAUUUCUUCUGGUUCUCCUAUACUCAUCCAAUAAUUAUGGGGGUUUUUUACUCCAAGGAAUUUGAAAAAUAUGUAAAUUGCAAUGUUCUGAUAACCUGUAUUCUGUUAAGAAAGAAAUAAUAAAUUUAUAUCCUUUUACAAGCCAGGUGUUUGAGAAUGCUUUUAAAAUGACACAAACCCCUAAAUUGUUUCUUUAAAUGUGUUUUAAACUGUGAGCAACAGGAAAUUGUUGGAAAAUUAGUAUGUCCAAAAUCAGUCACUUAGAAGCAUCACCUAUAGUGAAAUAAAAGGUUAUUAUAUGUCAAGUUAAAGAGAUUUUGGAAUAAAGGCUUUAUAUAUAGUAGAAGAAAAAUUGGUUUUGAAUUCU